GAUUGGAGCGGCCGAUAUCAGAUUAGGUAGUUGGUGAGGUAAAGGCUCACCAAGCCGACGAUCUGUAGCUGGUCUGAGAGGACGACCAGCCACACUGGGACUGAGACACGGCCCAGACUCCUACGGGAGGCAGCAGUGGGGAAUUUUGGACAAUGGGCGCAAGCCUGAUCCAGCAAUGCCGCGUGCAGGAUGAAGGCCUUCGGGUUGUAAACUGCUUUUGUACGGAACGAAACGGUGAGCUCUAAUACAGUUUGCUAAUGACGGUACCGUAAGAAUAAGCACCGGCUAACUACGUG
rnacentral:rRNA from 1 species